GGUACUUGUACCGACUGGAUGAGCAGCGAACGGGUGAGUAACGCGUGGGGAAUCUGCCUUUGAGCGGGGGACAACAUUUGGAAACGAAUGCUAAUACCGCAUAAAAACUUUAAACACAAGUUUUAAGUUUGAAAGAUGCAAUUGCAUCACUCAAAGAUGAUCCCGCGUUGUAUUAGCUAGUUGGUGAGGUAAAGGCUCACCAAGGCGAUGAUACAUAGCCGACCUGAGAGGGUGAUCGGCCACAUUGGGACUGAGACACGGCCCAAACUCCUACGGGAGGCAGCAGUAGGGAAUCUUCGGCAAUGGACGAAAGUCUGACCGAGCAACGCCGCGUGAGUGAAGAAGGUUUUCGGAUCGUAAAACUCUGUUGGUAGAGAAGAACGUUGGUGAGAGUGGAAAGCUCAUCAAGUGACGGUAACUACCCAGAAAGGGACGGCUAACUACGUGCCAGCAGCCGCGGUAAUACGUAGGUCCCGAGCGUUGUCCGGAUUUAUUGGGCGUAAAGCGAGCGCAGGUGGUUUAUUAAGUCUGGUGUAAAAGGCAGUGGCUCAACCAUUGUAUGCAUUGGAAACUGGUAGACUUGAGUGCAGGAGAGGAGAGUGGAAUUCCAUGGUUAGCGGGG
rnacentral:rRNA from 1 species